AUUGAACGCUGGCGGCAGGCUUAACACAUGCAAGUCGAGCGGAGAUGAGGUGCUUGCACCUUAUCUUAGCGGCGGACGGGUGAGUAAUGCUUAGGAAUCUGCCUAUUAGUGGGGGACAACAUUCCGAAAGGAAUGCUAAUACCGCAUACGUCCUACGGGAGAAAGCAGGGGAUCUUCGGACCUUGCGCUAAUAGAUGAGCCUAAGUCGGAUUAGCUAGUUGGUGGGGUAAAGGCCUACCAAGGCGACGAUCUGUAGCGGGUCUGAGAGGAUGAUCCGCCACACUGGGACUGAGACACGGCCCAGACUCCUACGGGAGGCAGCAGUGGGGAAUAUUGGACAAUGGGCGGAAGCCUGAUCCAGCCAUGCCGCGUGUGUGAAGAAGGCCUUUUGGUUGUAAAGCACUUUAAGCGAGGAGGAGGCUACCUGGAUUAAUACUCUAGGAUAGUGGACGUUACUCGCAGAAUAAGCACCGGCUAACUCUGUGCCAGCCGCCGCCGUAAUAC
rnacentral:rRNA from 1 species